GCGGGUGUAGCUUAAUGGUAAAGCCCCAGCCUUCCAAGCUGGUUACGUGGGUUCGAUUCCCAUCACCCGCUCCA
rnacentral:tRNA from 2 species